UAGAUAAUUCAGGCGAAAUUUACUCUGUUGUAUUAUUUUAAUAAUACUACAAUAGAUAUUUUCUAAUUUAAUUUGUUAUAUAAAAUGUUAAAGAUUAAUUCCGGAUUUAUAUUGAUAUUAAUUGCUCUAACCUUGACUUGUUCAUCAAUUACUCAAUGCAAAUCAGUAUUUCAAAAUUUACACAGGGUUAGACGUGCUGCCCCUAUAACUGUCACACAACCAGCAAUUGAGUAUGCUAAAGUUGCUAGAGCCAUUAAUAUAGUAGGAUAACAAAAUGGAAAGAAUAAUAUUUUAUUUUACUCUAUAAUUUUACAAUUAUUAUUUUGGUGUCUAUUGUAUUUAAUUCAUUAUUAUAAAAAAUAGGAAGAUUCAAAUUAAUUUAAAAAUCAAAUUUUUUCUUGUCUAACCUAGAAUAUUGUAUUAUUAUAUAAUAUAUAAAUGUCAUUAUCAAUAAAACCUGAAUCCACGCUAAAA